AGAGUUUGAUCAUGGCUCAGGAUGAACGCUAGCUACAGGCUUAACACAUGCAAGUCGAGGGGCAGCAUGAACUUAGCUUGCUAAGUUGAUGGCGACCGGCGCACGGGUGAGUAACGCGUAUCCAACCUGGCCCUUAGUAGGGGAUAGCCCGGCGAAAGUCGGAUUAAUACCCUAUGUUCUUCGAUGCGGACAUCUAAUUUGAAGCAAAGGUUCACCGCUAAGGGAUGGGGAUGCGUCCGAUUAGGUAGUAGGCGGGGUAACGGCCCACCUAGCCUUCGAUCGGUAGGGGUUCUGAGAGGAAGGUCCCCCACAUUGGAACUGAGACACGGUCCAAACUCCUACGGGAGGCAGCAGUGAGGAAUAUUGGUCAAUGGCCGAGAGGCUGAACCAGCCAAGUAAGCGUGCAGGACGACGGCCCUAUGGGUUGUAAACUGCUUUUAUCAGGGGAUAAAGUGAGGGACGUGUCCCUUUUUGUGGGUACCUGAUGAAUAAGGACCGGCUAAUUCCGUGCCAGCCGCUGC
rnacentral:rRNA from 1 species